GCCCUAAACGAUGGAUACUAGUUGUCGGACUACCUAAUAAGUUCGGUAACGUAGCUAACGCGUUAAGUAUCCCGCCUGGGAAGUACGGUCGCAAGAUUAAAACUCAAAGGAAUUGACGGGGGCCCGCACAAGCGGUGGAACAUGUGGUUCAAUUCGAUGCUACGCGAAAAACCUUACCUGGGCUUGACAUCCCGCGCUAUCCUGCGAAAGCAGGGGUUCUCUUCGGAGACGCGGAGACAGGUGCUGCAUGGCUGUCGUCAGCUCGUGUUGUGAGAUGUUGGGUUAAGUCCCGCAGCGAGCGCAACCCUCGUCCCUAGUUACCAUCAUUUAGUUGGGCACUCUAGGGAGACCGCUUGGCCAUAAGCCAGAGGAAGGUGGGGACGACGUCAAGUCAUCAUGGCCCUUAUGUCCAGGGCUACACACGUGUUACAAUGGGGGGUACAAAGCGCAGCAAGCUCGCAAGAGCAAGCCAAUCGCAAAAAACCUCUCUCAGUUCGGAUUGGAGUCUGCAACUCGACUCUAUGAAGCUGGAAUCCUA
rnacentral:rRNA from 1 species